AACACAUGCAAGUCGAACGCGAACGUUUCCUUUCGGGAAACUAGUAGAGUGGCGCACGGGUGAGUAACGCGUAAGUAACCUGUCCUCGCAUCUGGGAUAACCCACCGAAAGGUGUGCUAAUACCGGAUACGUCUACGAUAAAAUCAUUUUUUGUAGAGAAAGGUGGCCUCUGAUUCAAGCUACUGUGCAGGGAGGGGCUUGCGUACCAUUAGCUAGUUGGUAGGGUAACGGCCUACCAAGGCUAUGAUGGUUAGCGGGUCUGAGAGGAUGAUCCGCCACACUGGAACUGAAACACGGACCAGACUCCUACGGGAGGCAGCAGUGAGGAAUAUUGCGCAAUGGGGGCAACCCUGACGCAGCGACGCCGCGUGGAUGAUGAAGGCCUUCGGGUUGUAAAAUCCUGUCAGAUGGGAAGAAGUGCAUCAUGUUUAACACAUGUGGUGUUUGACGGUACCAUCAAAGGAAGCACCGGCUAACUCCGUGCCAGCAGCCGCGGUAAUACGGAGGGUGCAAGCGUUGUUCGGAAUUACUGGGCGUAAAGCGCGCGUAGGCGGCAAUUUAAGUCAGAUGUGAAAGUCCAUGGCUCAACCAUGGAAGUGCAUUUGAAACUGGGUUACUUGAGUACUGGAGGGGGUAGUGGAAUUCCCGGUGUAGAGGUGAAAUUCGUAGAUAUCGGGAGGAAUACCGGUGGCGAAGGCGACUACCUGGCCAGAUACUGACGCUGAGGUGCGAAAGCGUGGGGAGCAAACAGGAUUAGAUACCCUGGUAGUCCACGCCGUAA
rnacentral:rRNA from 1 species